ensembl:lncRNA
GCAGAGAACGAGAGAGGAGCCACUUACCUGUAUCUCAAAACACUAUCUGGAUUGUGGGAGGCAGAGAAGGAGAGAGGAGCCACUUACCUGUAUCUCAAAACACUAUCUGGAUUGUGGGAGGCAGAGAACGAGAGAGGAGCCACUUACCUGUAUCUCAAAACACUAUCUGGAUUGUGGGAGGCAGAGAACGAGAGAGGAGCCACUUACCUGUAUCUCAAAACACUAUCUGGAUUGUGGGAGGCAGAGAACGAGAGAGGAGAGAGAGGAAUGGAGAGAGGGAUUAGAAGCUAAUCCAGGACACGGCCAAUCCCAGAGGAGCUCCUUUUCUUCCAAGACACAGACACAACAGUCGCACGGAUUACUGCACUUUAGUGUAUUGCCUUUUUUUUUAAAGAAGCAUUAUCCCUUUUGUAUAGUGUUUCAUUGUCCCUAAAUGCCUGGUGUCCCGGGCCUGUGGUAAAUGUGCUGAAUUCUACAACAAAGGAUAAAAGAGGACAACAGUCCCGGUGAGAGGGGAGCGAAGUGACAGGAUGUCCCAUGGACUGUCUGGUGCCACACGCAGAUAAAGCGCUUUAGUGGAGACGACAUGUGUGAACGGACCCCCUGCUCUUUCUGCUGGGUCUCAGAGGGACUGAAAGCUGAACACCCCUGUGGACUGUACAUUCAAGAUCAAACUUCUAUGAGUGAAUACUAAAACGACUGAGUGGCUAGUGAGUGACAGGUUGGAGAUAUUUUAGUUGUUGAUUACAGGGGAGAAUAAGGUGAGGUUGCUUUCAAAGCAGGAUUACAAAUUAGUUUCUGGAAAAACUUACUGUAUCUGAAGGGAAGAAGGACUUGAUUGAGGAGACUUGCGGCAGCCUAGAAACCUCUAUCAUUAACUGGAAGGAUCUGAGUUCAUGUGUGUAGGUGCAUUAGAGAAGAUUAUUAGCUGACAAUCAAAGGUGUCAGCCUAUUGAGUCACUCCUCAAUAAGCCAUAUCUAAAGUGACCUGGUUGGUGAGAGUUGUUGUCUUGGUGUUGUGUUGGUGUUGAAACCUGUAGUGGUGAGAAGAGAAAGCACUGGGUGAGAGUGAGGUGGUAAUAAAGGUUGUUUUAAAGCUGACAUAAUCCCAUUACAGUUCCUUAAAAAGUUAUUUAUAAUCUCCAACAACUUUAUUGGACAGAGCACACAGGGCCAAGCAGCUUAAACAUAACCACUUUCAGAUGUAUAACACAGCCUGACUCCUAUCCACUGUAUUGUGUACUGGAUGGUUUUCACAGAAAGGGGUCUCUAGGUAACACAGCCUGACUCCUAUCUACUGUAUUGUGUACUGGAUGGUUUUCACAGAAAGGGGUCUCUAGGUAACACAGCCUGACUCCUAUCCACUGUAUUGUGUACUGGAUGGUUUUCACAGAAAGGGGUCUCUAGGUAACACUGCUGGCUGUCCAGCUUUGACAAAAGAUAUUGGUGCUCAUUUUAAAGGUAGGUAUAGACUUCAGUUUGGACUGAUCCUAAAAAGACAAGAACAAGAAUAUUUUGUAAAGCCUCAUUGCUUAACUUUGAGAGGGAAGUUUAAGGACCUGUAUAUUUUUGUUGCUGAAGGGAAAGGUGCAUUUAAAUGACCUAAUUAUAGAAAUUGCUGUGCACAUCUAAGAUUGAUUUAGCUCUAGAAACGUUCACAGGUAUGAGCUUGCCAACAGAGAGAGCAUCAUAGUUAUAUUGUUAGUGUUCACAAGCAGAAACACAAGUUCAAAAUAACAGUCAGGCAAUACUCCAAUCCACAAAGAGUGAAAUGUAUUUUGUCUGAUGGACAGAAUAUGAGCAUCUCUUGGUAUUCUCUCACUCUUUCACUGCACAAAUACUGGAUGAGUUAUGUUUCACUGUCAGUAUAUAUUUGGAGCCGCAACUGGAUAUAUUUUCUGAACUGACAUUCAAAAACCCACCGUCUGGGAAAAGAACAGUGGAUCCCAAGCUCUCAGACCACAUAGGC